rnacentral:misc_RNA from 1 species
GAUGAGAACGUAGCGAAAUGCGAUAAGUAAUGUGAAUUGCAGAAUUCAGUGAAUCAUCGAAUCUUUGAACGCACAUUGCGCCCGCCAGUAUUCUGGCGGGCAUGCCUGUUCGAGCGUCAUUUCAACCAUCAAGCCCCCCGGCUUGUGUUGGGGACCUGCGGCUGCCGCAGGCCCUGAAAAGCAGUGGCGGGCUCGCUGUCACACCGAGCGUAGUAGAUCUCAUCUCGCUCAGGGCGUGCUGCGGGUUCCGGCCGUUAAACCACCUUCAUAACCCAAGGUUGACCUCGGAUCAGGUAGGAAGACCCGCUGAACUUAAGCAUAUCAAUAAGCGGAGGA